rnacentral:snRNA from 1 species
UUGCUUGGGCAGCACAUAGACUAAAAUUGGAAUAAUACAGAGAAGAUUAGCAUGGCCGCUGUGCAAGGAUGGCAUACAAAUUUGUGAAGCGUUCCAUAUUUUU